AGCUGAAAUCCCACCUGAUCCUUCAGCCAUGAGAGUCUUUGCUGUUCUUUCAGUUGUUUUCGUCUUGCUGAUGAUGGCCACUCAAGCUUUAGCUCGUCCCCCCAGGACACCUAACCAAUGUGCUCAUUAUGGGGGCAAGUGCCAGUCACGGCGUUGUCAAAGAAACUACAGGGGCAUCGGGAUAUGUAACAGAUUUGGUGACAUUUGCUGCAUAAAACUGGAAGAGUCAUGAUUUUGGCUUUUCGCUACGGAACGCUGGCUUAGGCAUUCGUUUACGCACAUUGCCUUGUUCUGCAACCCUGCUGCNUGUAUUGUUACACACUUGAGGAUCUAAUGCAGUUG
rnacentral:lncRNA from 1 species